UGACGCUGGCGCGUGCCUAACACAUGCAAGUCAGCGAUUUACUUCGGUAAAGAGCGGCGGACGGGUGAGUAACGCGUGGGUAACCUGCCUCAUACACAUGGAUAACAUACCGAAAGGGUAUGCUAAAUACAGGAUAAUAUAAGAGAUUCACAUGGAUUUCUUAUCAAAGCUCCGGCGGUAUGAGAUGGACCCGCGUCUGAUUAGCUAGUUGGUAAGGUAAUGGCUUACCAAGGCGACGAUCAGUAGCCGACCUGAGAGGGUGAUCGGCCACAUUGGAACUGAGACACGGUCCAAACUCCUACGGGAGGCAGCAGUGGGGAAUAUUGCACAAUGGGCGAAAGCCUGAUGCAGCAACGCCGCGUGAGUGAUGAAGGCCUUCGGGUCGUAAAACUCUGUCCUCAAGGAAGAUAAUGACGGUACUUGAGGAGGAAGCCCCGGCUAACUACGUGCCAGCCGCCGC
rnacentral:rRNA from 1 species